AAGAGUGUAGAUUCUUCUUCUUCUUCUUUUGGCUAUAGAAAAGUGUAGAAUUAAAUACCUAGAAUUUAAAAACAUAAAUGAGACACAAAGACACUCGAAACCGGAAUCACUCGAUCCUGACCCCACUAACCAAUCUUGAGGAGCUGUCAUCUUAAACUACCACUCCGGUUGACUCAAAUCAGAUUCAUCCACAACAUUCGAAUCGAAUCUCCCUCUCUCCCAUCGCCGGCGCAAGGCCACCACAAUGGCCGCCGCCAUCACUCAACCACUCCUUUCUCUCUCCAAACCCAAGCCCUCCUCUCUCUUCAAACCCCUUCCCGCCACCGCCAAGAUCCUCCCCAGACCCAACCUCAAAAAGCAAUCUUUGCAGCUGGUGAGAUCAGUGGCCAACGAUUUCGACCUCAUACCCGUAAAGAUCGACGACCAACCGGACGGCGUCGUUUUCGCGGAGAGGGAAGCCGAUCCCGCGGAGGUCGGGGGUUUCGGGACCGAGAGGCUGUCAUUCGAGGGCGCGGCAGGGUUCUUAUCCGCUGCUUCCGGCGAUGGGAGUAGCGAGGAGGAAAUGGAGAGGCUGAGUGAUCGAGCGAUUAAUGCUACUAUUGUGUUGGCAGCUGGUUCUUUCGCUAUAACCAAGUUGCUCACUAUUGAUCAUGAUUAUUGGCAUGGAUGGACCCUUUUUGAGAUAGUAAGAUACUUGCCCCAGCACAACUGGAGUGCUUACGAGGAGGCCCUUAAAACGAAUCCCGUAUUGGCUAAAAUGGUAAUAAGUGGAGUGGUUUAUUCCGUAGGGGAUUGGAUUGCACAGUGUUAUGAAGGGAAGCCCUUGUUUGAGUUUGACCGUGCGCGCAUGUUCCGGUCUGGUCUGCUGGGCUUUACGCUUCACGGAUCCCUUUCUCACUAUUACUACCAAUUUUGUGAGGCUUUAUUUCCUUUUCAUGAUUGGUGGGUGGUUCCUGUGAAAGUUAUCUUUGAUCAGACAGCAUGGUCUGCAGUUUGGAACAGCAUCUACUAUGUGCUCUUAGGCUUCUUACGGUUUGAGUCCCCUGUCACCGUCUUUAGUGAGUUGAGAGCUACAUUCUGGCCCAUGUUGACUGCGGGGUGGAAGCUUUGGCCUUUUGCUCAUCUCAUUACCUACGGUGUGAUCCCAGUCGAACAAAGGCUUCUUUGGGUUGAUUGCGUGGAGCUCAUCUGGGUCACCAUAUUGUCAACAUACUCGAACGAGAAAUCAGAAGCAAGGAUAUCUGAAGCACCGGUUGAAGUUAAUGCCAGUUUGCCAUUGUCAAAUGGUCCAUCUGAGGAGUAAGCAGAAGACGCGACUUUGAAUGAUGAGAGAGAGAGAAGAGAAUGAUCCUAAUACAUGGACGCAGUGAGAGAAGACACCUUCUAUACCAAGAAUCGCAAGCAAAAUUCUCGAAGAGUAAGCAGCGGGGAAACCACUGCCCCAUCAUUCAAUUUCACCACGAAUUGCCCAAAUCUCUGACGGAAGAAACCGAAUAAAAUCCCGCGCGACAACUUCCGGCGCACUCGGUGGUUAGUGUUGAAAGGGCAGGGGACGAAGGUAGCAGCGGCGGUGGAGGUUUCUGCAUGGAUUGGUGUUGGGAGGGAUCAGAGGGCGGUGGCAGAGGGGUGAAGAAGAGAUUUGAGGUCAGAGAGAGCAAUGGUAACAGAUGGCGGUGGCGGAGGCGAAGUUCCGGCGGGAUGAUGAAGACGAAGACAUGGAUUGGGUGUAUUUUUCUCAAGAACCCUAAUUUGAUUUUGCCCUCAAUUUUUCGAUUGGAUUGCAUUUAAUUCUCUAAAUAGACAUAAAACUACGCCGUUUAGGGUUUAGCUUAAACUAUGUCGUUUACUUCGCCGAAAACUUAAUCCUAUGUGGCUUUCCGACAGCCAUGUCAGCAUUAGCUAUAUUGCCAGUCAAUUUUAUGGGAAAAAUGAGAAAAUCUUAACAAGAAUUUUAAAAAUCACGGGAAAAAUGCGAAUUCGGAGAAAUUAUUGGAAUUUUGGGGCUAUUUGCCCAUAAUUUAACUAGUUUUUCUCCAUGCCUCUCCUAUGCUUGAUGAACUUCUAGUAGUGCAGUUUGUUGUCAAUUUUUCUAGUGAAAAUGGCUACAAAAAGGUCCAUGAAUUCUCGAGUUGAUUAUUUGUA